GGCGGUAUCUUGAGUAGGGAUACUGAAGAUGCUGAGAAAAGAUUACUUGGCGGUAUCUUGAGAAGGGAUACUGAAGAUGUUGAGAAAAGAUUACUUGGCGGUAUCUUGAGUAGGGAUACUGAAGAUGUUGAGAAAAGAUUACUUGGUGGUAUCUUGAGAAGGGAUACUGAAGAAGUUGAGAAAAGAUUACUUGGUGGUAUCUUGAGAAGGGAUACUGAAGAAGUUGAGAAAAGAUUACUUGGCGGUAUCUUGAGUAGGGAUACUGAAGAUGUUGAGAAAAGAUUACUUGGCGGUAUCUUGAGAAGGGAUACUGAAGAAGUUGAGAAAAGAUUACUUGGUGGUCUGCUGAAGAGACAUGAUUCUGAAGGAGACGAAGAAUGAAGAAUUUCUUGAUAUUUAUUCCUACUCGAGACAAAGCCAGUCUAGAAGACGUGGUAUAUUCAAGUAGAGAGAAAGUCUUCCAAGUUUGACGUGUAUCUUUGAAAAUUACGUUUCUGAAGACACUGUCAUUUUAUGUCGAAUUUCAAAGCUGCAUAUUAAAAUAUAAAAGUUUCA